rnacentral:rRNA from 1 species
UACGGAGGGUGCUAGCGUUGUUCGGAAUCACUGGGCGUAAAGGGCGUGUAGGCGGCCUGCUAAGUCUGAUGUGAAAUCCCCUCGCUCAACGAGGGAACUGCGUCGGAUACUGUCAGACUCGAGUACCGGAGAGGAAGGUGGAAUUCCCGGUGUAGCGGUGAAAUGCGCAGAUAUCGGGAGGAACACCUAUGGCGAAGGCAGCUCGCUGGGACGUUACUGACGCUGAGACGCGAAAGCGUGGGGAGCAAACAGG